rnacentral:rRNA from 1 species
CCUACGGGUGGCAGCAGUGAGGAAUAUUUGUCAAUGGACGAGAGUCUGAACCAGCCAAGUAGCGUGAAGGAUGACUGCUCUAUGGGUUGUAAACUUCUUUUAUAUGGGAAUAAAUUGUUCCACGUGUGGGAUUUUGUAUGUACCAUAUGAAUAAGGAUCGGCUAACUCCGUGCCAGCAGCCGCGGUAAUACGGAGGAUCCGAGCGUUAUCCGGAUUUAUUGGGUUUAAAGGGAGCGUAGGUGGAUUGUUAAGUCAGUUGUGAAAGUUUGCGGCUCAACCGUAAAAUUGCAGUUGAAACUGGCAGUCUUGAGUACAGUAGAGGUGAGCGGAAUUCGUGGUGUAGCGGUGAAAUGCUUAGAUAUCACGAAGAACUCUGAUUGCGAAGGCAGUUCACUGGACUGCAACUGACACUGAGGCUCGAAAGUGUGGGUAUCAAACAGGAUUAGAUACCCGAGUAGUC